rnacentral:rRNA from 1 species
ACUGCCUGCCCAGUGACAACCGUUAAACGGCCGCGGUAUCCUGACCGUGCAAAGGUAGCAUAAUCACUUGUUCUCUAAAUAAGGACUUGUAUGAAUGGCCACACGAGGGUUUUACUGUCUCUUACUUCUAAUCAGUGAAAUUGACCUUCCCGUGAAGAGGCGGGAAUAUAUUAAUAAGACGAGAAGACCCUAUGGAGCUUUAACUACUUAACCCAAAGAAACAAAAUUUACUUCUAAGGAAACAACAACAUUCUCUAUGGGUUAACAGCUUUGGUUGGGGUGACCUCGGAGAAUAAAAAAUCCUCCGAGCGAUUUUAAAGACUAGACCCACAAGUCAAAUCACAUAAUCGCUUAUUGAUCCAAAAAAUUGAUCAACGGAACAAGUUACCCUAGGGAUAACAGCGCAAUCCUAUUCAAGAGUCCAUAUCGACAAUAGGGUUUACGACCUCGAUGUUGGAUCAGGACAUCCUGAUGGUGCAACCGCUAUCAAAGGUU